GACGAACGCUGGCGGCGUGCCUAAUACAUGCAAGUCGUGCGGGGUUAAUGGAGAAGCUUGCUUUUCCAACAAUCUAGCGGCGGAUGGGUGAGUAACACGUGGGUAACCUGCCUAAAAGACUGGGAUAACUCCGGGAAACCGGGGCUAAUACCGGAUAAUCUACCAGGUCAUANGGACAANGGUAGUAAANAGGUGGCGCANGCUACCACUUUUAGAUGGGCCCGCGUCGCAUUAGCUAGUUGGNUGGGGUAAUGGCCUACCAAGGCGACGAUGCGUAGCCGACCUGAGAGGGUGAUCGGCCACACUGGGACCGAGACACGGCCCAGACUCCNACGGGAGGCAGCAGUAGGGAAUCUUCCGCAAUGGACGAAAGUCUGACGGAGCAACGCCGCGUGAGUGAUGAAGGUUUUCGGAUUGUAAAACUCUGUCAUUAGGGAAGAACGGUUAUAGUUUAAAUAAGGCUAUAAAGUGACGGUACCUAAAGAGGAAGCCCCGGCUAACUACGUGCCAGCAGCCGCGGUAAUACGUAGGGGGCAAGCGUUGUCCGGAAUUAUUGGGCGUAAAGCGCGCGCAGGCGGUCUAGUAAGUCUGAUGUGAAAGCCCACGGCUCAACCGUGGAGGGUCAUUGGAAACUGUUAGACUUGAGUAUAGGAGAGGAAAGUGGAAUUCCAUGUGUAGCGGUGAAAUGCGUAGAUAUAUGGAGGAACACCAGUGGCGAAGGCGACUUUCUGGCCUAUGUCUGACGCUGAGGCGCGAAAGCGUGGGGAGCAAACAGGAUUAGAUACCCUGGUAGUCCACGCCGUAAACGAUGAGUGCUAGGUGUUAGGGGUUUCGAUGCCCUUAGUGCCGCAGCAAACGCAAUAAGCACUCCGCCUGGGGAGUACGGCCGCAANGGCUGAAACUCAAAGGAAUUNGACGGGGGCCCGCACAAGCAGUGGAGCAUGUGGUUUAAUUNCGAAGCAACGCGAAGAACCUUACCAAGGCUUGACAUCCCAUUGACCGGUAUAGAGAUAUAUCUUUUCUUCGGAACAAUGGUGACAGGUGGUGCAUGGUUGUCGUCAGCUCGUGUCGUGAGAUGUUGGGUUAAGUCCCGCAACGAGCGCAACCCUUGAUCUUAGUUGCCAUCAUUAAGUUGGGCACUCUAAGGUGACUGCCGGUGACAAACCGGAGGAAGGUGGGGAUGACGUCAA
rnacentral:rRNA from 1 species